rnacentral:rRNA from 1 species
AUGUACCUAACACCGUCUGAGAUAAGUUUUUUCGGACGGAGGUAUUGGCCGCUCAUUCUUUUCCGUCGGGCUCUGCCACCGGCCGGCACGCUCGUAAUGGUAUGGAUAUUUUUUUUGAAUGUUGGCAGGAGAACUGCCAAAUUCAUUGAUCAGAAGAAGGUAUGGGUAUGGUAUGGGUGCUUUCCUCCUCUGAGGAUUCCUGUAAUGGUAUGGGUAUGGUCGUAUCGUAUCAACCACUGGCGAAGACUCCAAACUGCUCAACACAGGGGCGACAAGCCGACAAGUCAACCCGGCAGCGUACGAGCUCAAGCAUCAAAGGCUAGCAGAGGAAGGCCGGCCUCCACCUUCCAGGUGCUCCAGCUCCCCCACUGA